GGCUUGUUAGCUCAAUUGGUAGAGCGCUGCACUACUAUCGCAGAGGUCAGUGGUUCGAAUCCCGUACAGGCCU
rnacentral:tRNA from 1 species